rnacentral:rRNA from 1 species
CACGUAGGGUGCGAGCGUUGUCCGGAAUUAUUGGGCGUAAAGAGCUCGUAGGCGGUUUGUCGCGUCGAAUGUGAAAACCCGGGGCUCAACCCCGGGCCUGCAUUCGAUACGGGCAGACUAGAGUUCGGUAGGGGAGUCUGGAAUUCCUGGUGUAGCGGUGAAAUGCGCAGAUAUCAGGAGGAACACCGAUGGCGAAGGCGGCUCUCUGGAACGCAACUGACGCUGAGACGCGAAAGCGUGGGGAGCAAACAGG